UACGGAGGGUGCGAGCGUUAUCCGGAAUCACUGGGCGUAAAGGGCGCGUAGGCGGCGCGACAAGGCGGCGGUGAAAGUCCGGGGCUCAACCCCGGAUCGGCCGUGGCGACUGUCGCGCUCGAGCACAGUAGAGGCGGGUGGAAUUCCGGGUGUAGCGGUGGAAUGCGUAGAGAUCCGGAAGAACACCGGUGGCGAAGGCGGCCCGCUGGGCUGUGGCUGACGCUGAGGCGCGACAGCGUGGGGAGCAAACAGG
rnacentral:rRNA from 1 species